AGAGCGCGCAGAGCAAGGCCGCCGCCAGCUCUCCCAGGAACCGUCGCGAGGCGUCCCCUCGGCGGCCGCCUCAGUUUCCCUGGCCGUAAAACGCGGGCGAUGGCGCUCGAUGCCCCGGGAGACGCCGGGGUCCGCGGGCCCUUCCGGCACCGGGUCCUCCUUCAGGUUCGGGCACCCGGCUGCCUCCACGCGGGGCGAGCGCGGCGAUGGGAUCGGUCCGUGCUGCGCUCAGCCCCGCUUUCGCUAUCCCUCUGCUCCAGGGGCAGCAAAAUCAGCAGAUGAGCCCCCAGCGCGCCUGCGGCCCACACACUGCGGCCGUAACAGUUAAACAGACGGGGAACAUUCAUGUGCGUAGAGCUCUUCACGGGGCGAUACAGAAAUGUGUCGUUCUAAAGCGUUAACGACCUGCAAUUUGCAUAUCCUCCAACACAUGGAUUUUACUGAUUCAAUUAUGGAUGUGUGCAAAGAAUCUGCUGCUCGGUGAGUCAUUGUUAAUUGUCGGCUUUGGGGGGAAUACAUAAAACGUGGAAUAUUGGCAAUUUAUCGUGUUUCGACCUUUUAUAAAGGCGUCACCAGGCUGCUGAGGCUAAUACAGAAACGCAGACCAUAAAAAAGAUCUGCGUCCACGCUGCAGGCGGGCCUCACGCUGAGCUCCCCGUGUCGACCCGGGGACAAAGCCUGCUCAGGAAGAGCAGAGGGUUCCACGCCCUGCAGGACCAGCGCCCUGGGCCCCUCUCCUGGAAAGUUAUGACUCGCACGUUCCCAGGAUUUAGCGCACAUCUCCCCCACCCUCACUGCCAUUUCACAGAACCGGGGCAGCCGCAGGGCUCCUGCAGGACCUCCCGGACGCCGCGGGGCCGUGUUCCCUUGAGCGGCUUCUUGGGUCCCUGGUUGGAGAGGGGACCACCGAGCAGCUUCGCUCUGCUCCUGGGAGGCUACUUCUGCCACUGGACGACUUUCCAAAAGGGUGAGCGCAGUUCUGCAAUCCUGUUCUCACCCCUGAGGGCCUCACACCAGUUUGCAGGAGCCAGCAGUGUGAUUGCCACCGACAAGUUCCCAACAAUUUGCAGGGCGUGGUGUCCUCAGUGCUGAGAGAGCCCCGCGACGGCGGUGCAGCUCCUCCAGGGCGCGCAGCCCCGCCACCUGGCGCCACCGCGAGGGAGCGCAGGCCCAGGGCCCGGGCAGACGCUGGAGGGGACGCGGCAGGUGAAGAUGGGGCACCUCCACUUCCCUUCUAAAGGAGCCUGGGAAUAGGCUAGGAAAUGUCCCCACUGUAGAAGACAGCAGGAACAUCUGACACGCGGAUAACCUGUGCUGAGCUCGUUAUAUUCCCAGCAUUUAAUUCUAGCCAUUAGGCAUGCGUUAGCCACAACUUCGCAUAGGAAGGUUAUUGCAGCUAUAUGGGAACACUUUCAGUUUCCCAAGUUAAAACAUGAAAUUGCACAUCAUCAUUUGGAUCCCCAAAGAGGAAAAGAAAAAUUCACAACCUGCCAGUGAAAUACUCAGGCCACUUGGAUGAAGACCGAGGUCCUCCAUAGAAUCCAGGUGUUAUUUACUAACUAAUCAGAAAUUAAUAUCAAAAUAGGACUUAAAAAUAACAAGGCUGUGUUAUUACAGCAGUCUUUCCAGUUGUGUACGCUUUACUAAUCUAAAUUGGGUAACAGAACUGGAGAAAAGGAAGACUACACAGACUUAUCAUAAGCUGUUAGUGAACGUGAUAGAAAUGCGUAAUUUGUUAAAGCGAAUUACAGCUCUGAUUUGUCAAAUGAGGAGGUGAAUUAUCCUAGGAUUUGCUAUGCUGUUGUGGCGUUAGAAGAUUGGAUCUUUAGCAGCAAAGGUAACCUCAACAAUAUUUUCUGCUUAAGAAAGUGCCUUGGUUAAGGUAGACCGUGAUAUCGUCUUUGACUAAGCUCUCUGGGCUAUUGAUUCUGUCAUAUUCCAAAGGCAGUAUUGGUUUGAAGCCGAAUCUCACGGUCAAUGUCAACAUGCAAUCCACAAAGACCCUGGCGCCCUUCCACGGUAUGCACUAACCAAAACUUUCUCACUGUGAAAUCCUUUUUUUAAAAACAAGAAAACAAAAAACAAAAACCAAAAAACCUUACUGUGAAUCCUUUCCCAAGGAAUGGUCCCACCUUCACCUCGGAAAGAGGCGUGGCUUGCUCUGUAAGCAGGUCCACCCUGAGGAGACCGCUGGUGCAAGAGCCCUGCUUGCAGAACACACAGGGGGUUUUCCCACAUUCUUACUGGAGUCAGAUUCGGCAAAGCAUUUCAAGCAACUGCUGGACACUUCAAAUACCACUCCCUGUUAACAACGCCCUGAGUAUCUCACUGUCUCCAGGAUCUGGUUUAAAGGGAAACACAGAAAUGGCCAACAGCUCCCUCCCCAGGCAGGACUGCGAUUUCACAGACAACCUAUAGGCAUCCCCAGUCUGGUGAAUAAACAGGAGAGUGAGAGGAAAACAGCAAUCAUUCAACUCCAGUAGAUGUAAAGCCUCCAGAAGAAUGUGUCCCGGGAAGGUCAGAAAUGUCAUUUUUUUCCUCCAGCACAUUUCAUCUGCCACAUUCCGCCGUCCGAUGUUUGAGGAAGGAGCCCCGCCUUUCCUUCAGGGGUUCUUGUCGCCAAGUUUGAUGGUGACAGUUUUCACUUCUGUGUAUUCGGCCAAAGCGUAUUCACCUCUGUGAUCACAGAAAAGAGGAAAAUUCAAAAUGGGUACAUCCCUUAGCCAUUGUGUAGAAACUGUUCUGAGGCUUCAUCAUUCCAUCAGGCCGUUGGAGGCUUAUGCAAAAGGUUAAAAUGUGACGACCUCAUGGAAUAAUAGCCAGGACUAUAACAGCACUAGUAAGUGUCAGUAGCUGCAUAUGUGACUUAAAUGUAAAUAUCAAGGUCUUCUUCUGUGUGAUGCUUUUGAAAUGGCCAGGACUAAGGGUUUCCCUUUAGAGAAUGAAGGGGAUUUUAAAAAAAGUAAAGAGGUGAAUUCCCUGGGGUGGCAAUAGAGAGCAAAACGAGAGAGCCUGGUGGACGGUGGGGUGUCUGUGAACGAGGGAGGGGCAGAAAUUACACUGGGUUGAUAACUUUUAGAUGGCAAUUGGGAGCUGCUUGAAGAGGAGACAGAAGAGGCAGAGGCCCAAAGCUAUUGGCUGGGGAUGUGGCCAGAGGACCAGUGGGAAGAACACCAAGGGCCUGAAGCUGGCCUCAGAGUGCACAGCUGGGGACCAGCUGUCAGGCAGUGAGGCCAGCCUAGGGGGCAUGAGAGAAGCAGACGUUAGCACAGAGUGGACAUGGGGAGGCCACAGCUUUUGGGUUCACAUCCUUGGUAUAGUUCCUUUCUUUAAAUCUUGCAGGGCUCAGGUGAUCCUUCCCUGGCACCAUGGGCCGUCUUCAGGGUAGCUUCCCUUCCAAGACCCAAGAGGCAGCUUUGGAGAGAUUUAAAUCCUUCUAAGCGCUUGAUCUGCUGUCAGGUGAAGAAAAAUGUGUGCUUGUUUAGGAAGAGAUGAAGGUAGAGGUGGCCACUGGAGUCUCUGUAGUUAAAAAGACCUGUGACAGAAUCCCAUCUCCUCCCUUAGAUCAAUGGUUCUCAAAGUGUGGUCCCCAGACCAGCAGCAUCAGCCUCACCUCUGAACUUGCUAGAAAUGUAGAUUCUCAGGCCUCCCCCAGCCCUACUAUCGUAGGCAGAAUAAGGAUCUCCCCAGGUAUCCAAAAUUGGAUCCCCCAAACCUGUGAAUAUGUUGGGCUACAGAGUGAAGAAUUAAUGUUGCAGAUGGAAUUCAAGUUACUAAUCAAUUGACUUUAAAAGAGGGAGACUCUCCUGGAUCAUCCAGGCAGACCCAGUGUAAUCACAAGGGUCCCCAAAACUGGCAGAAGAAGAGAGGCAGAGCAAAAUGAGAUUAUAGAAACAGGUUCAGAGAGCAGCAGUGCUGGCUUUGAAGAUGGAGGAUGGGGCCACCAGCCUAGGAAUGCGAGCAGCCUCUAGAGGAUGGAAAAGGCAAGGAAGUAGAUUCUCUCCUGAGAACCUCCAAAAAGGAAUGAAGCCCUUGAUUUUAGCUCAGGGAGACCUGUGUCAGAUUUUUAUCCUACAGAACUAUAAGAUAAUAGAUUUAUGUUAUUUAAGCCACUGAUGUUAUGGUAACUUCUUGCAGGAGCAAUAAAAGACUAAUAAACUUACUGAAUCAGAAA
rnacentral:lncRNA from 1 species